GUUGAGUUUUAAUUUUAGAUAAUAUACACUAGGUGGAUUCACCAAUAUUGAAAAAGACCAAUGUCUUUAAUGUUUUUUUCAGUCAGCAGACAUUUUUUCAAUAUUUUAAACUUUUAAAUUAAAGUUAUUCUCCAUUUGUUAUGUAUAAAUUAUUACUUAGCCUAUGUAGUCUCUUUCUUAAGGUUGAUUCUUAUUUUCUGUCACAGAUAAACAUAGGAGAAAUUCUACAUAUUUCUAUUCUAAGUAGCUUACCACCACUGUGGGAACACUGUGAUGGUAAGCUAUGCUUUCCCCAAGAUUCUUAGUACUGUUUCCAUAAUUCAUUUUGUUUUACACAAAAUGGACGCUAAGCAACAGAAAGCAGUCAUUGUUUAUGAAAUGAUAUUAAAGCUGCAGUAAAUGAGGAAACUGAAACAAAAUUGAGGAAGAAAAAAUGUUGGAUCUUUGAUUUCAACAUUAGAAAGCCAUAAGAAGAAAUGUGAACAAUGUUUCUAUGCGAAUUUGAUUUGAAAUUUGAAUAAUUUAUUAAAUUUGAAAUUUGGAUGAGAUUUAAUCUUGAAUUUAACAAUUGGGAUUCUCUAAGUUGUCAACUAUUCAAUGUUACAAAAUGCAUCAAUUUGAUUAAUGGACAUUAUCUUGACAGAUUUUAUUGUCAUGAUAAAGUUGAAUCCAUAUAGAUUCAGGACAAUAGCAGUUUUAACACACAAUAUGAUGUCAAAACUGAGCUACUUUUACCACGUACAUAUUUUCCACCUCAGUUCUGCACUAGUAGGAACCAACUUUUAUUUACCAACUGCUAUUAGUGCUAAAAAUAGAUGCUUUGCUUAAUUUACAGAUAAAACAGUACAAAAAAUAACCUUAAUAAAAUUUUAUUUUUAAAUUCCACAAAAUUUCAAAAAUUUUCAAUAAUGUUAAACAGUAUGAUAGCAGAAUGCUCUAAC
rnacentral:lncRNA from 1 species